AGAGGGGCUGGGGCUGGCAGCAGUGCAGGGGAGCUGGUCCUGGGUUCACAGGAAAUCCAGAGUGCCUCCAUUGAAUAGUCUUGGCUGUGUGUGGAGUGCCCAGAGCUGCAUCUGGCUCAGUCCCCACCGUAGAAGCGGGAGGGUGUUUGGACCCAAACAAAGAGAAGCUGCUGGAAGCUCGGCCACACGUUAGCGCUGAAGGUGCCAUGGUCGGCAAUGCAGCAGCUGCCUGCCGCGUGUGAGUUGCUGCUCACGUGACAGGAGGCUCCGAGUAUCAAAAGCACCUAAUUAGGAACAUCUCCGACUCCCACCCGGAUCUGUGCCUCUCUGCUCAGUGAGUGCAGCCCAGGGGUGAGUUUGGCAUCCCUGAAAGCAUCAUUAACACAUCGCUCCUCAUAUUCCUCACUAGAGGAAAAGAGAGUGACAGCCCUGAAAGUGACGAUAAUGAAUCCCCAGGCAGUGCACGGGGCCCGUCAGCGCUGGAUGUGUCAGUAAUUUAUGAAGGGAGCAGGAAAAAAAGGGUAUUUUUAAUUUUUCAAGUUGAGCUUCCUAAAUAAAACACAAGUCCAAGAUACA